AAAAAAUUAGUUAAACCCUAUAACAUUAGCUUGUCAAACUAAAAUUAUUUAAUUUAAAAUAUUUUUUA
rnacentral:tRNA from 1 species